GUCGAGGGGUAAUUCUGCAGCAAUGUGGAAACGACCGGCGCACGGGUGAGUAACGCGUAUGCAACCUUCCUUUAACUGGGGCAUAGCCCGGAGAAAUUCGGAUUAAUACCCCAUAAUAUCCUGAGAACGCAUGUUUUUAGGAUUAAAGCUCCGGCGGUUAAAGAUGGGCAUGCGUACCAUUAGCUAGUUGGUGAGGUAACGGCUCACCAAGGCUACGAUGGUUAGGGGGUCUGAGAGGAUGAUCCCCCACACUGGUACUGAGACACGGACCAGACUCCUACGGGAGGCAGCAGUGAGGAAUAUUGGGCAAUGGGCGCAAGCCUGACCCAGCCAUGCCGCGUGAAGGAUGAAUGCCCUAUGGGUUGUAAACUUCUUUUGUACAGGACGAAACUCUCGGUCGUGACCGGGAUUGACUGUACCGUAUGAAUAAGCAUCGGCUAACUCCGUGCCAGCAGCCGCGGUAAUACGGAGGAUGCAAGCGUUAUCCGGAUUCAUUGGGUUUAAGGGUGCGUAGGCGGAAUAGUAAGUCAGUGGUGAAAGCCUGCGGCUUAACCGUAGAAUUGCCAUUGAUACUGUUAUUCUUGAGUAUAGUUGAGGUGGGCGGAAUGUGUAAUGUAGCGGUGAAAUGCUUAGAUAUUACACAGAACACCAAUUGCGAAGGCAGCUCACUAAGCUGUUACUGACGCUGAGGCACGAAAGCGUGGGGAGCAAACAGGAUUAGAUACCCUGGUAGUCCACGCUGUAAACGAUGAUCACUCGUUGUUGGCGAUAUACCGUCAGCGACUGAGCAAAAGCAAUAAGUGAUCCACCUGGGGAGUACGGCGGCAACGCUGAAACUCAAAGGAAUUGACGGGGGCCCGCACAAGCGGAGGAACAUGUGGUUUAAUUCGAUGAUACGCGAGGAACCUUACCUGGGCUUGAAAGGGGAACGACCUCCCGGGAAACUGGGAUUCUCUUCGGAGCGGUCUCCUAGGUGCUGCAUGGUUGUCGUCAGCUCGUGCCGUGAGGUGUCGGGUUAAGUCCCAUAACGA
rnacentral:rRNA from 1 species